rnacentral:rRNA from 1 species
UACAGAGGGUGCGAACGUUGUUCGGAAUUACUGGGCAUAAAGCGCGCGUAGGCGGUUUCGUAAGCGCGGUGUGAAAUCCCACGGCUCACCCGUGGAAUGGCGCCGUGAACUGCGAGACUCGAGGAUGGUAGAGGAGGGCGGAACUCCUGGUGGAGCGGUGAAAUGCGUAGAUAUCAGGAGGAACACCGGUGGCGAAGGCGGCCCUCUGGUCCAUUACUGACGCUGAGGCGCGAAAGCUAGGGUAGCGAACGGG